CCAGCUUCCGCUAUCCAGAAAACAGUUCCCUGUCUCUCAAAGCUGCAGAAAGCGGUGUAGAAGCGGCGAGUAGAAACUGAGGAACUGUAAGAUGGACACCCUGCGGGUGAAAGCGCCCUCGGACUCGACCUGGGCGCCCCUCUAGGGCACAGCGAGUGCCUGCGUCAGACACCUCCCCGGCGCAGGGAGUGAGGAAAGGGCCUGCCCCCGGGCGUUCAAAGAGAUCCGUUCAGGAAAGAAGGGAGGGCGCGUUUCCGAAGCUCCGACUUCAGGACCUUCUGGAAGCGCUCCGCGGGUAGAGGAGGAGCCAGGCAAGUGCCGGAAACGGAAGUGGGUCACAGAAGAGGGGGCGCCCCGCCCCCCGCCGAGGCCCCGCCUGCCGGGAGCAGGAGCUCCGCCCCUGGCAAAGGUCAUGAGGAAGGAGGCUGGGCAUACGCAAAGGUGGGAUCGAGCCUCAGGAGUCCCCCUGGAAAUUCUCGAGCAUCUACCCCCAAAACCAGAGUCUGCCUACUUUC
rnacentral:lncRNA from 1 species